AAGGCUUUAGCUUAAUUAAAGUGUCUGCUUUGCAUGCAGAAGAUGUGGGUUAGACCCCUGCAAGUCUUA
rnacentral:tRNA from 1 species